rnacentral:tRNA from 1 species
GGGGGUGUUGCAGAGUGGUCAAAUGCUCGAGACUGUAAAUCUCGCGGCCGUGUGCCUUCGUAGGUUCGAAUCCUACCGCCCCCA